UGAGGAAUAUUGGUCAAUGGACGGAAGUCUGAACCAGCCAUGCCGCGUGCAGGAAGACGGCUCUAUGAGUUGUAAACUGCUUUUGUACGAGGGUAAACUCGGGUACGUGUACCCGACUGAAAGUAUCGUAUGAAUAAGGAUCGGCUAACUCCGUGCCAGCAGCCGCGGUAAUACGGAGGAUCCAAGCGUUAUCCGGAUUUAUUGGGUUUAAAGGGUGCGUAGGCGGUCUUGUAAGUCAGUGGUGAAAUUUUGGUGCUUAACAGCAAACGUGCCAUUGAUACUGUGAGGCUAGAGAGUAGAUGCGGUAGGCGGAAUGUAUGGUGUAGCGGUGAAAUGCUUAGAGAUCAUACAGAACACCGAUUGCGAAAGCAGCUUACCAAACUAUAUCUGACGUUGAGGCACGAAAGCGUGGGGAGCAAACAGG
rnacentral:rRNA from 1 species